rnacentral:rRNA from 1 species
GUUAUAGGAUCAAGUGACUAAGUGCACAUGGUGGAUGCCUUGGCGAUUACAGGCGAAGAAGGACGUGGUAGCCUGCGAAAAGCGGCGGGGAGCUGGCAAACGAGCUUUGAUCCGCUGAUGUCCGAAUGGGGAAACCCACUGCGCGAGCAGUAUCCUGCACUGAAUACAUAGGUGCAGAGAGGCGAACCGAGCGAACUGAAACAUCUAAGUAGCUCGAGGAAAAGAAAUCAACCGAGAUUCCGGCAGUAGCGGCGAGCGAACCCGGAGCAGCCUUGACGAUUUAGCAUUGCAUAUAGCCGAACGCUCUGGAAAGGGCGACCGUAGGGGGUGAUAGUCCCGUAGGCGAAAUGUGCGGUGUGGAACCAGGCGUCAGACAAGUAGGGCGGGACACGUGAAAUCCUGUCUGAAGAUGGGGGGACCAUCCUCCAAGGCUAAAUACUCGUAAUCGACCGAUAGUGAACCAGUACCGUGAGGGAAAGGCGAAAAGAACCCCGGAAGGGGAGUGAAAUAGAUCCUGAAACCGUGUGCAUACAAACAGUAGGAGCCUCUUUAUGGGGUGACUGCGUACCUUUUGUAUAAUGGGUCAGCGACUUACAUUCAGUGGCAAGCUUAACCGAAUAGGGAAGGCGUAGCGAAAGCGAGUCCGAACAGGGCGAUUGAGUCGCUGGGUGUAGACCCGAAACCAGGCGAUCUAUCCAUGGUCAGGUUGAAGGCACGGUAACACGUGCUGGAGGACCGAACCCACUAAUGUUGAAAAAUUAGGGGAUGAACUGUGGAUAGGGGUGAAAGGCUAAACAAGCCUGGAAAUAGCUGGUUCUCUCCGAAAACUAUUUAGGUAGUGCCUCGCGUAUUGCUGCUGGGGGUAGAGCACUGUUAUGGCUAGGGGGUCAUGGCGAUUUACCAAACCAUGGCAAACUCCGAAUACCAGCAAGUAUGAGCGCGGGAGACAGAGCACCGGGUGCUAACGUCCGGACUCGAAAGGGAAACAACCCAGACCGCCGGCUAAGGUCCCUAAAAUUGGCUAAGUGGGAAACGAAGUGGGAAGGCGAAGACAGUCAGGAGGUUGGCUUAGAAGCAGCCAUCCUUUAAAGAAAGCGUAAUAGCUCACUGAUCGAGUCGUCCUGCGCGGAAGAUGUAACGGGGCUAAGCCAGUUACCGAAGCUGCGGGUGUGCCCGUUCUUUUAACCGCAUUGCGAAAGCUUAGCGUGCGCCAGCACGCAAAGCGCUCUAUCACGAUAGGGUCGUAGUGUGUAGUGUGGUUAAAUGAACGGGCACGCGGUAGGAGAGCGUUCUGUAAGCCUGUGAAGGUGGCUUGUAAAGGCUGCUGGAGGUAUCAGAAGUGCGAAUGCUGACAUGAGUAGCGAUAAAGGGGGUGAAAAGCCCCCUCGCCGUAAGUCCAAGGUUUCCUGCGCAACGUUCAUCGGCGCAGGGUGAGUCGGCCCCUAAGGUGAGGCAGAGAUGCGUAGCUGAUGGGAAGCUGGUUAAUAUUCCAGCACCGUCGUACAGUGCGAUGGGGGGACGGAUUGCGAAAGGUCAUCGGGGUGUUGGAAGUCCCCGUUGCUGCACUAUAGAAGGCGCUUUAGGCAAAUCCGGGCGCGCAAUUCAAGGGUGUGGCUGAAUAAGACUACGGUCUUAAACUGAUUGGAAGUGGUCCCAAGAAAAGCCUCUAAGCUCUAGCUGUACGAGACCGUACCGCAAACCGACACAGGUGGACGGGAUGAAUAUUCCAAGGCGCUUGAGAGAACUCAGGAGAAGGAACUCGGCAAAUUGAUACCGUAACUUCGGGAGAAGGUAUACCCCGGUAGUGUGAAGGGCUUGCGCCUGGAGCAUGACGGGGUCGCAGAGAAUCGGUGGCUGCGACUGUUUAUUAAAAACACAGCACUCUGCAAACACGAAAGUGGACGUAUAGGGUGUGACGCCUGCCCGGUGCCGGAAGGUUAAGUGAUGGGGUGCAAGCUCUUGAUCGAAGCCCCGGUAAACGGCGGCCGUAACUAUAACGGUCCUAAGGUAGCGAAAUUCCUUGUCGGGUAAGUUCCGACCUGCACGAAUGGCGUAACGAUGGCCACACUGUCUCCUCCUGAGACUCAGCGAAGUUGAAAUGUUUGUGAUGAUGCAAUCUACCCGCGGCUAGACGGAAAGACCCCAUGAACCUUUACUGUAGCUUUGCAUUGAACUGUGACGGGCUUGUGUAGGAUAGGUGGGAGGCUGUGAGACGUGGUCGCCAGAUCACGAGGAGCCAUCCUUGAAAUACCACCCUGGUGUCGUUGAGGUUCUAACCUAGGCCCGUGAAUCCGGGUCGGGGACCGUGCAUGGCAGGCAGUUUGACUGGGGCGGUCUCCUCCUAAAAGGUAACGGAGGAGUUCGAAGGUUCGCUUGGUACGGUCGGACAUCGUACCUAAAGUGCAAUGGCAAAAGCGAGCUUGACUGCGAGACUGACACGUCGAACAGGUGCGAAAGCAGGACAUAGUGAUCCGGUGGUUCUGAAUGGAAGGGCCAUCGCUCAACGGAUAAAAGGUACUCUGGGGAUAACAGGCUGAUUCCGCCCAAGAGUUCACAUCGACGGCGGAGUUUGGCACCUCGAUGUCGGCUCAUCACAUCCUGGGGCUGUAGCCGGUCCCAAGGGUAUGGCUGUUCGCCAUUUAAAGUGGUACGUGAGCUGGGUUUAAAACGUCGUGAGACAGUUUGGUCCCUAUCUGCCGUGGGCGCUGGAAGUUUGAGGGGGCCUGCUCCUAGUACGAGAGGACCGGAGUGGACAUACCUCUGGUGUACCGGUUGUCACGCCAGUGGCAUCGCCGGGUAGCUAAGUAUGGAAGAGAUAAGCGCUGAAAGCAUCUAAGCGCGAAACUCGCCUCAAGAUGAGACUUCCCGGGGACUCGAUCCCCCUGAAGGGUCGUGGAAGACCACCACGUUGAUAGGCUGGGUGUGGAAGUGCAGUAAUGCAUUAAGCUAACCAGUACUAAUUGCCCGUGCGGCUUGACCCUAUAACC